rnacentral:tRNA from 1 species
AUAAUAUGGGUUAUUUGGUGAUCCAUUUGAUAUUUGGAAUUAAAUAAAAAUAGAUAAAACAUGUUGUUAAAUAGUUCAACUCUUAUGUGUGAUU